GAAGAUGUGGUAGGAGUGUUGACACAAGUAUAGAAAUGGAGAGAGAGAGAGAUGCAGAAGGAGGAAGGUACAUAGUUUGUUCGAAUGUACCAGUGCAAAGAGAGAAAGAGAGUAGAGAUCAAUUGUUGAAUACAUAGCAUUACAGUAUAUCAGGAACUACAUCUCGAGACAGUUGGACCAACCAGACAUUACUGAGUCUCUCACUCUCACUGUGUACGAGAGAAGCUGAGCCUCAGAAUCUACAAGAUGAGGAACCUACUGAUAAUCACCAUCCUCUCCUUCAUGACAGGUUGUAAGCUGCCUUGAAGUGGAAGGAUACUCAGGAGGAACUGCCAUCUUCAACUGUAAAUACCCAGAUGCAUAUAAAAGCAACCAGAAAUGUUUCUGGAAGAAGUCCAGCCAGAGUUGUGAAGAGAAAAUUAGCAGUGAGACAAAGAACCCCUGGGAGAACAAGGACAUAUUCUCUCUGAAAGACACUGACAGUAAACUCUUCACGGUGGUCAUCGAAAAACUGGAUUAUAGAGAUGAAGGAUGCUACUACUAUGAUGCGGACACACCAGACACGUCGUCAACUUGCUGUAGGACUAAGGUGGAGCUGGAAGUAAAGGAAGGUUAGAGACUUUCACUUUAAUUUAACUAAAUUAUUAAUUCCCUGUGUGAUGAGAAUAACGAGUCACGGCGGUCAGUCAACUAAGGGUGAAAGGAAAGACUGAGGUUAUUAAUAAAGGCUGAGGUUUUUUCCAUUGACAGAUAACUGCUGUAGGAGAUCAUUCACAGAGAUUGCUUAUCUGGGAGGAACCGCUACCAUCAGCUGCAAGUAUCCAAAUGACCAUAAGGACAGAGUCAAGUAUUUCUGCAAAAAAAGAUGGUCACUUCAUCUGUAAAUGUAAUAUAGAUUUACAAUCUAGAAAAGAAUCGAACGAACAAGGUCCAUUUUUUUGUGUCUGACAAGACAAGGGAAGAGAGAGAGUCUUCACUAUGACCAUCACCAAUCUGACUGGGGAGGAUACAGGGAUAUUCUGUUGUGGCGGGAAAACUACUGCCUACAUUGACUAGAUCACUGAAGUACAAUUUAAAGAUAUUAAUGCGUCACCCAAGACCACCGCAGUGACCACCACCGGAGUGACCACCACCGCAGUGACCACCACACUGAACACCAUGUCUCCUGCAUCUUCAUCCAUAUGACCAUCAACACUAAGACAAUGUACCUUUGAUAAGUAAAUGUGGUUCUAGGGAAGGUAGCUUAGCAGUUAAGAGCUUUGUUUCGGUUGCUGGUUCAAAUCCCCAAGCCGACCACAUGAAAAAUCUGCUGAUGUGCCCUUGAGCAUGGCACUUAACCCUAA